UACGGAGGAUGCAAGCGUUAUCCGGAUUUAUUGGGCGUAAAGCGUCCGCAGGUGGUUGUUCAAGUCUGCUGUUAAAGCGCGAGGCUUAACCUUGUACAGGCAGUGGAAACUGAGCGACUAGAGUAUGGUAGGGGUAGCGGGAAUUCCCGGUGUAGCGGUGAAAUGCGUAGAGAUCGGGAAGAACACCAACGGCGAAAGCACUCUGCUGGGCCGAAACUGACACUGAGAGACGAAAGCUAGGGGAGCAAAUGGG
rnacentral:rRNA from 1 species